CUGGAUUAGAUCAAUGGUGCAUCAUGUUAAAAUAAAUCAUGGGUGCCCUAGUGGUAAAACCAAAUGAGAGCAGUCGCUUUCCCAAGGUGCAGAAAAUAUAAACUUAGCGAAGAGCACACUUCUGACCUCCAGUCACGC